AUCUUAACCACUCUGAAUCACCCUAUAUAUAUAUUGUAACUAUAGUCUUUCUAUACUCGCAACACCCCCGUAACAUAUUGGUGGGAGGUGCGGGGUACCACGGCUGGAAACGGAGCAUGCGCAGUGGACGUCAAACACCGUCCGCACCAUGAAUGAAGGAUCAGCGCUUUCCGAGGAGCAAGAGGAGCGCAGGAGGAAGAAGGUCCCAUUUGGCGUGGCGCCACCCGCCUUCCUGUAGCAGGUCGUUUAUGAAUGCAUACGACUGCAGCUUUCCGUGUUUCGUAAGGCGGCGAACGGUUUGCACGAAGGCGAGCUUUCUGGCAUUCGUGACACUGUCAUGAGGAAACCUGGAGGACAACGACGCUUCAA